rnacentral:misc_RNA from 1 species
GAACGCACCUUGCACCCAUUGGUAUUCCAAAGGGUAUGCUCGUUUGAGUGUCAUUGUACUCUCACACUCCAAUUUUGGAGAAGUGGACUUGGGUGUUGCUGCUUCGCAGUGGCUCAUCUUAAAUAUGCUAGUGCAACUCAUAGUUGGAUAUAGUACAGCGUGAUAAGUAUCUUCGCUGGCGCCUCAUGAAGAGGGUAUCUGAUUGGGAGCUCUGUGCUUCUAACAGUCCUGUCUGGGACAAUCUCUGACAACUUGGCCUCAAAUCGAGUAGGACUACCCGCUGAACUUA